rnacentral:rRNA from 1 species
GACGAACGCUGGCGGCGUGCUUAACACAUGCAAGUCGAACGGACAGGCCCUGCUCUUGCUGCGUGCUCGUGUGGCGAACGGGUGAGUAACACGUGAGUAACCUGCCCCUGUCUUUGGGAUAACUUCAGGAAACUGGGGCUCAUACCGGAUAUGAGCUCUUGCUGCACGGUGGGGGUUGGAAAGUUUCGGCGGUUGGGGAUCGACUCGCGGCUUAUCCGCUUCUUGGUGGAGUAGUGGCUUACCAAGGGUUUGACGGCUAGCCGGCCUGGGAGGGGUACCGGCGACAAUGGGACUAAGAUAGGGCGCAGACGCCUACGGGAGGCAGCAGUGGAGAAUAUUGCACAAUGGGCGGAAGCCUGAUGCAGCAAUGCCGCGUGCGUGAUGACGGCCUUCGGGGUGUAAACCGAUGUCGCCGGUGACGAAGCGUGAGUGACGGUAAUGGGUAAAGAAGCACCGGCUAACUACGUG